UACGUAGGUGGCAAGCGUUGUCCGGAAUUAUUGGGCGUAAAGCGCGCGCAGGCGGUCCCUUAAGUCUGAUGUGAAAGCCCACGGCUCAACCGUGGAGGGUCAUUGGAAACUGGGGGACUUGAGUACAGAAGAGGAAAGCGGAAUUCCAGGUGUAGCGGUGAAAUGCGUAGAUAUCUGGAGGAACACCGGUGGCGAAGGCGGCAUCCUGGACCGACACUGACGCUGAGGAGCGAAAGCCAGGGGAGCAACGGG
rnacentral:rRNA from 1 species